GGUAUGGUACAAUGGUAGGCUCUACUAAUAUUGAUAUGGGCCUUUGGCUGCCGACGCCGGCUGCCCUGCCAGGAUUCGGCCCAAACCUUCCCUCGUGAGGUGGCCCUCUUGGCCUUAUGGAUCUGCUAGCCACGAUGGCGCAUCCUGAUUCCUGAAGGAUUGUGGUUUCCGGAUGUUCAGCAAAUUGUUGCUCAGGCAGCGCAAGCCCGUGAGUGACCUUGGUCAAAUGGAGCCUGGAGGAGUAGUGGAUUCUGGUUGCUGGAUGUUCUCACGGAAGGUCCUCGUGAAACCGAACUGAUCCCCACUAUGCCUGCAAGCUGUUCGACCAUAUGCGUGUUAUGUGGCAAAUUAAGCAAAUGCAGCUGCACAGUGGGAGCCCCCUUGCAGUCUACAAACUCCGUAUGAGCUGCUGUACUGGCAUUUCAGUUUAGGCAUUUAAAGGAAGGUCUAAUACAAGAUGUAAAAGCCUGCUUAUUAGAAAAUGUUUGGGGAUAUAAUAACGUGGAAAGGAGAUGUUCUGAACUUCUGCUCGUGUUGAUUCAAAAUCUGUCAGAGCUAGAGCAGAAGGGUUGUGCUUUAUUCAAUUAGUAUUAAGUUCAGAAAUGUGCAUGUGCUAGGAGCAACCAUGCAAGGUAGAAAAGUAUUAUCACUGUGGUACCAGACAAUAUAUACUCGUUCAAAUUUCUGAGAACGAACAACAUGGUUAACUAUUUAAGUUUGUAGGGUUCUGGAAAAAGGUGGUUUAAUUUUUUAUACCUUGUAUAUUUUGUUGUAUACAUUCAGUGUUCUCAGAACACACGUUUAAACUACAGUGAAUAUUCUCUUUCUUUAACUAAUGCCAUAUUAAACAAAGGACACAUACUAGCUUUUAUUUUGAGUAAAGUGAUAUAAUUUUCGACAACAGAUGCAUAUUUAGAGAAAUGAAAAUAAGUUACUCCUUUUUCGUUUGGUUGCGAAAUAUUUGCAUAACCCAUCACAUGAAAAUUGUGAUUUUCUUUUAAGUGAUUAGAUGUGGACACAUAAUUAGUGAAAUGAGAAAUUUGGUAUUGGAGCUUUUUAUAACAACUGCACAUGCACUUCCGGACACAGGCUUGAUUUGUACGCUUAUACUUAAGCUUGACAUAUUCAGUAUGAUGCACGAAGUAUGUAGAAAUAGAAGCUUCGUAUUUAUAUUAAUUCAAAUUUAUUGUAAAGAAAUAGUACUCAAAUGCAUACAUUAACUUUCAUUACCAUGCUCAUUUUAAGUUUCUCAUAGUAGCAUAAUAAAAAUUCUCAUCGAAGUGUUUAUAUAUGUUAGUUGACUAAUUUCCUAUCACAAUUAUGUACCUGGUAGUCGCUGCCACAUUCCUUGAGUUCAUUGUUGAAGGUGUUGAGGAGUGUUGUCUUGCCAACCCCUCCUGGGCCCCAAACUCCAAUGAUGCCCAGGUUGCUGUUGUUGAAAAAUUUCCGGAGAUCCUUCAGCACAGGGUUCAGGCCAAAGGCUUGUAUCCGUGGUCGCUCCUCGACCAAGUCUGGCAAAGGCUUGUAUCCAAAUACCUUAAAUUGGUUCCCUUCCUCGAUUAACCCUGCAAGGUCCUCCAGAACAUUGAGAAUACGCUUGCCAAGGCGAUAACGUUUGCCGAGGCUUAGAGAAGAACUGCAGAAGCAAGAGUAUUGCAUGAGUUGAUCACACUCUUGGUUGAUAUCAUCAACUUGGAUGGGGACCUCAUCAACCCUUCUCAGCCAUAAUUUAACUAGAGGAUGGCACUUGUUGAGCUGGUUGGUUUCGAGGCUAACUUGUUCUUGAACCACCUUAUCAACAGCUUGCAGGUCUUCAAUGGCCUUUGUAAGGGCUUUCCGGUUGCGCUUGAUGCAAAUGAAAGAAGAGAAAUGUCUUGCAGUGGCUGCUGGUACCCCCGUGUUAUUGAUGAAGCCACACACAGGCUGCAGAACUGCACAGAUCAUGAUAGGAUCUGCCAUACGGGUGUUAUGUGAGGAAUAUGGAUAUCAGGAUAUAACUCAAUGGUUCAAGCAACCGAGAGAGAAAGGCGGAGGCGUGUCUCAUGCAGCAAUGAGGUGGUACCUAUGAAAUUCCAAGAACUACCCGCCCAGCAGAUGAUAACGGAGUCUGUUGAUUCGGACACACAUCAUCAGGUUUAUCCAUUGAUAUCCAGUCAGAUACGUGUCCAUGUAUCAUCACAUUUACCUCGAAUCCUUGAUGGGCACCUUUCUGAAAGAUUCUUACGAACCAAUAUUAUAAAGGAAGACCAAGACUGGUCCGAUUCCGAUACA